CGUAGGGUGCGAGCGUUAAUCGGAAUUACUGGGCGUAAAGCGUGCGCAGGCGGUUUUGUAAGACAGGCGUGAAAUCCCCGGGCUCAACCUGGGAACUGCGCUUGUGACUGCAAGGCUAGAGUACGGCAGAGGGGGGGUGGAAUUCCACGUGUAGCAGUGAAAUGCGUAGAGAUGUGGAGGAACACCAAUGGCGAAGGCAGCCCCCUGGGUCGAUACUGACGCUCAUGCACGAAAGCGUGGGUAGCAAACAGGAUUAGAUACCCUGGUAGUCCACGCCCUAAACGAUGUCAACUAGGUGUUGGGUGGGUAAAACCAUUUAGUACCGGAGCUAACGCGUGAAGUUGACCGCCUGGGGAGUACGGCCGACAAGGUUA
rnacentral:rRNA from 1 species